GUCCCUGCAGCGCAAUUGAUAGCUCGUUGGACUUCUAAUUCAAAGGUCGUGGAUUCGAAUGCCACUUGGAAUG